UAAUGUCUGUUUAAUGCUUAUAUUAAAAAUGUUAAUAUAUGUAAUAUUCAAACGAGUCUUAGACAACGUUUUGGAAUAAGUAUUUUGUUCAUAAUUUUAUAAUGCUUUGGGUAGGACAAAUCAUUGUCCCAAUAUCACAUUUACAAGGUGCGCCAAACCCGUAGGCUUUACACAGUGUGCCCCUCAAGGAAGGUUCCUUGAUGUUGUUGAGGGGCUCUUGAUUUAGGGAAUUGGAUCUGUGCUCCAGUUCCCCGAAUUAAGCCUGAAUGCCUUCCACAUCCCCCCCAGGCACUGUAUAAUCCUCCGGGUUUAGCGCUUCCCCCUUGAUUAUAAUAAUAAUAAUAAUUUACACAGUGUUGGGUAACUGGGAAGCAUGUAAAUGAACAUGGAAAGAAUGGAUAAAGAGGCUUGGUGGUCCAGUUAGUCAACAAGUUCUGUAUUCUCAAGCUGCAUUAACGAGAUAUAAAGACAAAUUUAUCCCGAUGAUACACUGUAUAAAAGCAUUAAUGAUAUAGCUGUCAUACAUAGUUAAGCUUGUUGUGCAAAGUACUUCGGGUAGACUUAAGAUUAAACAAAUCUCGGCUGGUCUAACUCACUCCCACUCCAUAUACUCCUACAACCUAUAAAAAACUACUUUAAAGUUCUUGCUUCAGUGAUGCGAUAGAAUAGUUAAGGUUAGAAUAUAUAAACGCAUAGUGAUCAUUUUGACGAUUUUUGUUUUUUUAUAUUUGAGCGAAAUAUUGUGCAAAUAAAGCCGUUCUCUGAUAUAAAUAUCAUGGUUCGAUCUUACCUGUUUGCGUCCUUUUUUUUUUUCCCCCUUUCAAAGCAAAUAUAUGUUGUUGUUCCCUCCCCGUCAAGAUCCAGUAUGAAGACUUCACUACCAUUAAGUGGCUGGGAGAGGGAAGUUUCGCGAAGGUCUACCUCAUCUCUAAACAUAACAAACUUCAAGUGCUUAAAGUGAUCAACCUGGGUCAGUUGGCGGGAUCCCUGAGGUUUGUGGCCGAGCAAGAACUACAGCUACUGAAGACCAUCCACCAUCCCAACAUCGUUACGUACUUGGGCGGAGAAGUUCGAGGCAAUGACCUCUUCAUCGUGCUGGAGUACUGCGCCGGGGGAGACUUAGCUAAACUCAUCUACCAGCGGGUGCAGCAGGGAGGGCCGCGCUUUUCCGAGAAGAGGAUUGUGUCUUGGGCUCUCAGUAUUGCCUCCGCA